UGUGUCAAAUCACAAUAAUCCACCUGAACCUGAGUUUGGCCUGAAAAUCUAUUGCGAAAACAAUACAUAUCGCAUUUUGUUGCUGCUUAAUUAAAAAUCAAGCCAAAGUUAGUGAACAAUGUCUGAUGCUGUUGUGAAUAUAAAUGGGAAUGUGUGGAAAUGGAACCAUUCGAUUGCGAACUUUCAGCAGAAUAUGCCUCUGACAAGGCCAAAAGAAGAAAUUCUGGAUAAAUUCGUGUACAAAACUGACUCUGUGUAAUCUGAGAGGGAUCGUGCUGGAUAUAGCGCACUUAUAGUCGAUCUCCUCCGUCACAUUUAAUUCAUCUGCUACAACUGUGGGUUUGUGAUCACAAAACAUUCACAUUAAAUUUUAAAAAUAAUUUUGACUUUUUAAAACAGUGACAGCAAGCUACAAAAUCAAUGAAGCUUAGAAAAAAGACACUUAAUUGUCACGAUAAAAUAUCUAGAAAUACACAUAUACAACGUGGUAUGUUCUCAUUUCUCAAUCAAAGAAUUGAACAUUUGGCGCUAUUAGUAUAUUUAAAAAACAAUUAACUUCACGGGAUACAAAAAAUUUAAGACAAUAUAAGGUGCGCUGAAAAUUAGUUGAGAGCGACAACCUCAAUGAUCUCACAUUAUUUUACCAGUAAAAUAUAAGGAUUUAAUUAAAGCUAAAUAUUGCCGCACUCUAGCAAGAAACAUCCACUAGAAAAAAUUACUGAAAUAAUUCACAUCGAUUAAAUAGCAAAAUGUUUAUGUUGCAGUACAUGAUAAGCUCUCUACAGUACAAGGCUCAACGUAAAAGAAUCAAACUAUAAUGAACCAAUGUAGGCAGUAUGGCUGUUAUCAACUUUAAAGAAAUAAAUUAAAAUCUCAUCUGAAAAUCAAUGAAAGUCAGCUAUAGUGGCAUGUUUUCCGGCUCAUAAAAAUAAAUUUGAGCUGCUAUUCAAAAUCCAUAUGUGCUUGUUAUAUUUUAAAUCAUCUUGUCUAGAUAUAAUUCAUUAAAAUUGAAUAUCUGAACAAUACAUGAUAAUUUUGUGCUCAGGUCGAUUCUUCAACCUGCUGCUGUGGCCUCUGAAGCGAGUUUGGCGCACAUUUGUGCUCCGUCAGGUGGUGCCUGCGCUGUUGGGCGCUAAGGUGGCCGUCCUUUGGCCCACUUUAUUUGUCCUGGUCGGCCUUCUCGAGAGUGCCCUGGCAGGCCUGCUCUUCUUCUACUUCCUCUUCUCCUCGGCCGUCUCCCUGCCCACCGCAUCGCCCAAAAUCGACCUUGUAUCACCUCUCAAACCACAACCCCCCUUGGCGCAGUAUUGGUGGUAUGAGCAACCAACAGCGGAGCCAUACAGGACGAUUUCACAUGAGGACGUGGAAUUAAUGAAGUCAACGCAGAGUAGUCCAUUUCUGCAAAAUGACACGGAAUAUGAGUCAUCCGUUCACGCAGUGGAGGAAAAGAGCAACGAUAGUUGGUCGUUCAAGACUAACGACAACCCUCAAGUCACUUACUACUCAGCUUAUACCAACUAGAAGAGGGGAAAAUAACUAUUUAAAUGUGCAUUACAUUUGUGAAAUUUUUUUAUUUUUUGUUACGAGAAAAGUGUUUUUUUAGUUAUAAGCGCAAUCCAAACCGUUUUACCUUAAAUAUUUAAACGCCAAAAUAAGUUUAUUUAUGAAAAUAGUCUCCAGGAUUUUUUUUAAUGAAACAUUUGUUUGUUCAAUCUAUAGCCGGCACAGAAGAUGUAUUAAAAUUUCAUAAUGAUAACCAAGCUUCAAUGCAAGAGCUAUAAACCGACUCUUACUAGUGUAGUGUUGAAAUUAAAUUAACUAAUAAAGCAAGUAAAAUACAAAAUACAUGUAUUAAUUUGAAAUUAAGCAAUAAAACAUAUACUGCACUGAUAC